CCCCGGUCUGUGGAGCAAAUCCAGCUGCCUGAGCUAGCUCCCUGACCCGGGUGUGGAAUCCCUGCAGCUGCUCCUGCCGCACGUCCACCAGGAGGCUCUCGUCGUCCGCUUCGAUGCCGAAGGCCACGAAGGGCCCCGUGGCGAUGUCCCCCCAGUACCCGCGCGCUGCCACGCGCUCCCCACGCUGGAAAAGAAGGGAGAGAGGAGGCAGAUGGAGGUUUUGCUUUUGUCGCUCAGGCUGGAGUGCAGUGGUGUGAUCUCGGCUCACUGCAACCUCUGCCUCCCGGGUUCAAGUGAUUCUCCUGCUUCAGCCUCCAGAGUAGCUGGGACUACAGGCGCCUGCCACCACACCCGGCUAAUUGUUGUAUGUUUAGUAGAGACGGGGUUUCACCAUGUUGAGCAGGAUGGUCUCGAUCUCCUGACCUCGUGAUCCGCCCACCUCAGCCUCCCAAAGUGCUGGGAUUACAGGUGUGAACCACUGCACCCAGCCUCUCCUGGAAUUUUCUAAGUGGCUCUAAGAUGUAUUAUAUUUAGCCCCAUUUUACAGGUAGGAGGAGCUGAGGCUCUAAGAUGGCAAAUUACAUCAGAGGGGACCAUCAUCAAUAAAUAUAUUGGAUUUUUUUUUUUUCAACAGAGGUACCACACUGGAAAAUGCCAAACAUUUUUGGUUUUUAGAUGGAGUUUCGCUCUCUCUUUUUUUUUUUUUUUUUUUUUUUUUUGAGACGGAGUCUCGCUCUGUUACCCUGGCUGGAGUGCAGUGGCGCGAUCUCAGCUCACUGCAAGCUCCGCCUCCCGGGUUCACGCCAUUCUCCUGCCUCGGCCUCUCAAAGUGCUGGGAUUACAGGCGUGUGCCACCGCGCCCGGCCGGAGUUUCGCUCUUGUUGCCCAGGCUGGAGUGCAAUGGCGCGAUCUCGGCUCACUGUAACCUCCGCCUCCCAGGAAAAUAACCAAACUUUUUAAUUGUACCAUUGAAAUGCCAGAAUCCCUCUAGGGAGGGGGAGGAGACCAGCGGUCAGAAUGCCUGGGUCCUAGCAACAGACCUUGCAG